AUUGAACGCUGGCGGCAGGCCUAACACAUGCAAGUCGAGCGGAUGAAGGGAGCUUGCUCCUGGAUUCAGCGGCGGACGGGUGAGUAAUGCCUAGGAAUCUGCCUGGUAGUGGGGGAUAACGUCCGGAAACGGGCGCUAAUACCGCAUACGUCCUGAGGGAGAAAGUGGGGGUUCUUGGACCCUCAGGCUAUCAGAGGAGCCUAGGUCGGAUUAGCUAGUUGGGGGGGUAAAGGCCUACCAAGGCGACGAUCCGUAACUGGUCUGAGAGGAUGAUCAGUCACACUGGAACUGAGACACGGUCCAGACUCCUACGGGAGGCAGCAGUGGGGAAUAUUGGACAAUGGGCGAAAGCCUGAUCCAGCCAUGCCGCGUGUGUGAAGAAGGUCUUCGGAUUGUAAAGCACUUUAAGUUGGGAGGAAGGGCAGUAAGUUAAUACCUUGCUGUUUUGACGUUACCAACAGAAUAAGCACCGGCUAACUUCGUG
rnacentral:rRNA from 1 species